rnacentral:ncRNA from 1 species
AGGAGCGGGAUGAAUCGAGAGGUUCACGUCCGGUUUUGGGAGGGCGUGGGAGUGAAAUUCUCCCGCGCUACUCAAC